ACGCACGCUGGCGGCGUGCUUAACACCUGCCCGUCGAACGGAAAGGCCCUGCUUUUGUGGGGUGCUCGAGUGGCGAACGGGUGAGUAACACGUGAGUAACCUGCCCUUGACUUUGGGAUAACUUCAGGAAACUGGGGCUAAUACCGGAUAGGAGCUCCUGCUGCAUGGUGGGGGUUGGAAAGUUUCGGCGGUUGGGGAUGGACUCGCGGCUUAUCAGCUUGUUGGUGGGGUAGUGGCUUACCAAGGCUUUGACGGGUAGCCGGCCUGAGAGGGUGACCGGCCACAUUGGGACUGAGAUACGGCCCAGACUCCUACGGGAGGCAGCAGUGGGGAAUAUUGCACAAUGGGCGGAAGCCUGAUGCAGCAACGCCGCGUGCGGGAUGACGGCCUUCGGGUUGUAAACCGCUUUCGCCUGUGACGAAGCGUGAGUGACGGUAAUGGGUAAAGAAGCACCGGCUAACUACGUG
rnacentral:rRNA from 1 species